CCUACGGGAGGCAGCAGUGGGGAAUAUUGGGCAAUGGGCGCAAGCCUGACCCAGCGACGCCGCGUGCGGGAUGAAGGCCUUCGGGUUGUAAACCGCUUUCAGCAGGGAAGAAGCGAAAGUGACGGUACCUGCAGAAGAAGCACCGGCUAACUAUGUGCCAGCAGCCGCGGUAAUACAUAGGGUGCAAGCGUUGUCCGGAAUUAUUGGGCGUAAAGAGCUCGUAGGUGGUUCGUUACGUCGGAUGUGAAAACCUGAGGCUCAACCUCAGGCCUGCAUUCGAUACGGGCGAACUGGAGUGUGGUAGGGGAGACUGGAAUUCCUGGUGUAGCGGUGGAAUGCGCAGAUAUCAGGAGGAACACCAAUGGCGAAGGCAGGUCUCUGGGCCACUACUGACACUGAGGAGCGAAAGCGUGGGGAGCAAACAGGAUUAGAUACCCUGGUAGUCCACGCUGUAAACGGUGGGCACUAGUUGUGGGAACCCUUCCACGGUUUCUGCGACGUGCAAACGCAUUUAAGUGCCCCCGGCCGUCGGGAGGUACGAGUCGCGAAGAAGUUAAACGUUAACAAGUAGAAGUUAGUACGGCGUGAGACGUCGCCGACGGACGACGACGAGGGAGGUUAGG
rnacentral:rRNA from 1 species